GAUUAAGAGGAAAAGAGUACACGGGGGAUGCCUAGGCUCUCAGAGGCGAAGAAGGACGUGAUAAGCUGCGAAAAGCUACGGGGAUUGGCAAAUACGAAUAGAUCCGUAGAUAUCCGAAUGGGGGAACCCAUCGUAUAGGAGA
rnacentral:rRNA from 1 species